GGAUAAUGACCUAAAGGCCUUUGUCAUUUUGCAGAAUUUGUUUUACCAAAAACUGUGGAAUAAAGAUAGUUCAGCUCAGGGUGUUACUUUUGGUGUUGGGUAGAAGAUGAGGAAACACCGGAUGUUAGCGCUGUGCGCUCUUCUGGGCGUACUUUUUGCAGGACUGCUGCCCAAACUUGACGCUCAAGAGGAAGAUUGCGCACAAGGGCUGGCCGCCGAUAUAUACUUUCUAGUGGAUUCGUCCUGGAUCAUGGGACAGUACGUCCGACAGUUUCUGUAAAGUGUUGUUAAAGCUCUGCAUGAGGGUGGCGGUUUGCCCUCGUCCAGUACAGUGGUUCGCCCAAAACCGAGUUCCAGCCGAUCAUGUACCCAUCUCUGCUGGGGGCCCUGGCCCACAUCCGGGCCAUAGCCUGCUGGGGAGGCGACACCCACACGGGCCCGCGGUAGCGGGCAGCCGUGCAGGCGAGGGCGUGAGCCAUGUGGUGGUGGUCUUGAC
ensembl:lncRNA